CGCGCACCGAGCGCUCGGAGCCAUCUUUGAGCCCGCAUUGAGUAGUGGUGUUCGUAACUACUAUGGCCGCUUAAAGGGACUGCUUAAAGACUGCUUAAAGCCGCGAAAAACGUCAUAGCUUUCUGAGCGCGAGCGCUCAAUGUCCAGUGUUCCAUACACUGCUAACCACAGGGAAUAUCCUGCAACACAGUCACAAGAUAUUCUGUAGCAGACGACAGGAAAGACGCUGCCGGUGUCGUCUGCGAAGUGUCGUCUGCUAAGUGCGCAGUACGCCGCUCUUGAUAUUCCGCAUCGUGUGAAUCCUCAACAUGACACGGAACGGAACUUCGUCUCUCUUUUCAGGCUCGUAAUUGCUGACGCCGGAAAAAUGAAAGUCAUCCUAGUGAGCGGAAUAUUCGUCGCUGUGGCCACGUGCCUUGUCAUUGCUGCUGCUGAUGAUGAAGAUUAUGGGGAGGUGAGACCGCCACCGCUGCACAACCCCGACUCCUGUGACGCGGAAUACUGCGGUUCCAUUUGCCGGCAAUAUGCGUGCAGUCGGUUCAGAUUCUGCCGUGGCGGAAGGUGUACGCCGAGGCACACGCUGCCCUGCUUGUGCAUUCACUAGAUAAAAGACGAAAUGAAGAACAAACGCAGGUGUGUAUUUAUUUGUAGAAUAAACAAAACCGCGCAUA